GCUCAGUGGCAGAUUUCUGAGCCCCACUAGCAGAAGUCUUUGGGACACUUGGUGAAUAGGUGCUGGAGCGGGGCUUUCCAGCCCCAUUGAAAACAGGUCUGUCAUGACCCUCACGAAACGAGGGCUGGGAGUUAUUGCCAGAUCCUGCUUUGGUCCUCUCUCCUGGGAAGGA